AGGUGUCAUCCAGAGGGCACUGUGUUUGAGAGAACAGCUCUCUCACAGUGAAAGUUCAGGUCUGUGACAGGCAGAUGGGAGAGGGGUUGGCAGCCCUCCUGAGUGGAUGGCUACCCACCUCCACUGCGUGUGGCCUGGUCCUGCGUGUGGUCAGUUGUUAUAAAUGUCUUUUAUUAGACAUCCAGAGUCAUUUUCACUUGUGUAAUUUAGGGACAUUUCUGUCUCUUCUGGGCUCUAGUUUUCCCAUC
rnacentral:lncRNA from 1 species